GAUGAACGCUAGCGGCAGGCUUAACACAUGCAAGUCGAGGGGCAGCGCGGGAUAGCAAUAUCCUGGCGGCGACCGGCGGAAGGGUGCGUAACGCGUGAGCGACAUGCCCGUUGCCCGGGGUCAACCGGUGGAAACGCCGACUAAUCCCCGAUGGGAUACGAUGCUUCAUGGCAUUGUAUUGAAAGUUACGGCGGCGACGGAUUGGCUCGCGUCCGAUUAGCUGGUUGGCGGGGUAACGGCCCACCAAGGCUGCGAUCGGUAGGGGUUCUGAGAGGAAGGCCCCCCACAAUGGGACUGAGACACGGCCCAUACUCCUACGGGAGGCAGCAGUGAGGAAUAUUGGUCAAUGGGCGGAAGCCUGAACCAGCCAUGCCGCGUGCGGGAAGGAGGCCCUAUGGGCUGUGAACCGCUUUUGCCUGGGGGCAAUAAGGGCGUCGCGCACGUCCGAUGAGAGUACCAGGCGAAUAAGCAUCGGCUAACUCCGUG
rnacentral:rRNA from 1 species